rnacentral:rRNA from 1 species
AGACCGAUAGCGAACAAGUACCGUGAGGGAAAGUUGAAAAGGACUUUGAAAAGAGAGUCAAAAGUACGUGAAAUUGCUUAAAGGGAAGCGUUUGGAGCUAGUUUGGCUAGUCUGUUAUCAGCCUGAGCUUCGGCUUUGGUGUACUAUCAGGCUAUUUGCCGGCCAACUUUCAGGAUUGGAAGGAAAGCUUAGUGCUUUGGAGUCUAAAGAGACCUUUGCGGAAGCCUCUGGUGGAGCGUUGGUCUGCCUUGGCCCUUCUGAACCUAUAGUUGGCUUAAUGGCUCUAAACGGCCCGUCUUGAAACACGGACCAAG